GUCUACAAAAGUACUCAAAACUGCUGCAUUUGACUAAAAAGUACUUAGGGACUUGUCGUACAUGCAUCUAUGGGCCCACCAGAAGGUUUGAAUAGUCUUAAAUUUAGGGCUAGAUACCAAGAUAUAUUUGACAUGGAGACUAUGGCGUAGGGCGGCGUAGUCUACGUGGAAAACCAGGAAACUAGUCGAGGAUUAGUAAAAGUACUGAUAAUAAUACGAGUAGAACACCUCUAGUCAAAUCCAACUAGUAUUCCUAUAAACCAACCGAUCUGUAGCCCUGCCCCCGGCAAUAUAAGGUGAGGUAAAGACCCCCUCCAAAGCAAUUC
rnacentral:lncRNA from 1 species